rnacentral:rRNA from 1 species
GACGAACGCUGGCGGCGUGCUUAACACAUGCAAGUCGAACGGAAAGGCCUCUUUCGGGGGGUACUCGAGUGGCGAACGGGUGAGUAACACGUGAGUAACCUGCCCUUGACUUUGGGAUAACUUCAGGAAACUGGGGCUAAUACCGGAUAGGAGCUCCUGCUGCAUGGUGGGGGUUGGAAAGUUUCGGCGGUUGGGGAUGGACUCGCGGCUUAUCAGCUUGUUGGUGGGGUAGUGGCUUACCAAGGCUUUGACGGGUAGCCGGCCUGAGAGGGUGACCGGCAACAUUGGGACUGAGAUACGGACCAGACUCCUACGGGAGGCAGCAGUGGGGAAUAUUGCACAAUGGGUGGAAGCCUGAUGCAGCAACGCCGUGUGCGGGAUGACGGCCUUCGGGUUGUAAACCGCUUUCGCUCAUGACGAAGCUUUGUGUGACGGUAGUGGGUAAAGAAGCACCGGCUAACUCCGUG